UACGUAGGGUGCAAGCGUUAAUCGGAAUUACUGGGCGUAAAGCGUACGCAGGCGGCUUUGCAAGACAGGUGUGAAAUCCCCGGGCCUAACCUGGGAACUGCAUUUGUGACUGCAUGGCUAGAGUUUGUCAGAGGGGGGUGGAAUUCCACGUGUAGCAGUGAAAUGCGUAGAUAUGUUGAGGAACACCGAUGGCGAAGGCAGCCCCCUGGGAUGUGACUGACGCUCAUGUACGAAAGCGUGGGGAGCAAACAGG
rnacentral:rRNA from 1 species